GGAGAUGCCGAGCAUGCGGGCGCGGACGCCCUCGCCGACGACUUCGAAAAAGUCGACGUCUUCGCCGCGAUCCCCCGGGAGGAUGGCGUCCACGCGCUUCUUCAGGCGGCGCUUCCGAACCUCCAUGAAAUCGGAGUCCAGCGCGGGUCUCCCUUUCGCUCUGGAGUAGGACACGCCGUGCUCGGGGUUGAACCUCCGACGCACCUGCGUCGUGUCCACGACGGACAUCUCGUCGCGAGAGAUCCAUAACCCGCUGAGGGUCGUUCCAUACGAGCGAACGUCGGGGUGGAGUUGAAAGGCGUCAGUUGGCGUUGAAAGGCGUCGAGGGCGGGGAUUGAAACCGAGGAGUGGGCGGAGAGAUGCGCCGGGCAAAGUCCUUAAGGAUCGGCGUUCACCACGCGGACGCGGUCGUAUCGGGACCAGUGUAUAGAACGCGCCUGAAGAUGUUCCCGACGGGGUAGUACCGCAUGUAAUUGUUCUUCAGAGACAUGCGCCACUCCCAAUGGCACCCGCCCUCGCGCUCGUGGAUCGGGACCGCCAUGUCGUGAUGCGCGAACACCUCGUUCUUCCGUCGCCACUCGUCGCAGCGCGCCAUCGCGAUGUCGCCCACAGAUUUCCCGUGCGCCGCCGCGUGCGCGCGCAUGAGUUUUUCCCAGCUCUCGCGUUGACGCUCCCACUGAUUCAACGCGUUCUCCUGAGCGAUGUUAGUCAUCUUCACGUGGAGCUCCCACCCGACGUCCUCCUUGCUCUUCUGCGCGAGCUCGGCAGCCUCCGCGACGCGCGCGUUUUCGAGCUGGUUCGCGAAGUUCGCCGCCUCCCGUCGUCUCUCGGUGAGGACGCGAAACGCUCUCUGGUAAUGCCGAACGAAUUUCCCCCCAUUCACGUCGCGCGCCGCGCGGUCCAGGUGCGGCGGCAGCUCCGGCAGCGCCUCCGGCGUCGGCGGCAUCUCCAGCUUCGCCUGCUCGAUCUUCUUCUGCAGCGUCCGCUCGUACUCCCCGACGUCGCCGAGGACGGCCCAUUCCCUGCGCUUCCCGGACCUCGCGUCCGGCCUCGGCCCCCCCGGCGCGAUCGCGCGCGCGGUCGCGGGCUCGGGCGGUGGGCUCGGCGACCGCGCGCGUUCGUCCGCGCGGGUCUUCGGGCCCCCUCGCGAGCUCGCCGCGGACGCGGACGUCGUCGCGUCGAACCCGCGCGUGAAGUCGAACGCGUGCCGAGGCGUGCUCGCGAGGGAAGACCCGCGCGAGAUGGUCGACCUCGGCGCGCCGCUCGACGCCGCGCGCCCGCUCUGGAAGAGAUGAUGAUGAUGAAGAUGAUGCCCGCCCGCGUCGCGGGCGUCCGCGGUGCCCCCCAGGGCGUCGCUCUUCGUCGCGCUCGACUUGAGCUUCCGCACGAGGAUCUUGCGCUUCGGCGCCGCGGUGCUGCCCGCUUCGGACGGCGUCGCGGCGCGCGACCGCGACUGCGCUUGCUCCAGCGCGGUCAUCUCCGCGGCGACGCGCGCGGCGCAAUGAGAAGACGCGCGACGUUGCGUUGCUCCCCCUCGUCGUCGCGACCGCGGUUGACUGACUCUCGACGACCGGGGGGGGUCGCCGUGACCCAAAACGGGCAACUCAGUGUACACGGGCAAACAGUCAGGUCAGCGCGCUCGUGUACUGUACGAAAAACUACUUUUCGGAUCGAAAAAAAAUAGCCCUAAGGUUACGCACAUCCACGAGGAGACGCGAAUUUUAUGAACGACUAAAGCCGUCGCGUGAGAUAGAUACUGUACUACUGUACGUAAGUUUUAUAUAUACAAAAGGACGCGCUCUGCUGGGUACGAGUACAGCACGCGCGCGCGGCAGGUCGAGGGAAACGAAUUUCCCGCCGCGGACCCGCCGCGCGCGUGACGCGUGACCGACCGCACGCAGAGCGCGUCGUCGAGGCGCGAAUUAAUCCAUCCACCCGCGAACGCGAGUAUAAACACAGUGACCCCCCCCCCCCCCAAUGGUCCCGGAGCCGUUCUCCCGGUUUUAGUCGUCGAGGUCGUACACGUCCAGGAUCCACACCAAGAUGAUGCUGUACGCGACGUAGAACCCGUAGAUGACGAAGAAAACCUUCCCGUGCCAAAUCUCAAGCUUAAACUUGUUGAAGAAGAUGGCGCUGUAAUACAACACGAGAACGCCGGCGAGUAUCAGCGACGACGGCACGAGCUCAUUCGUGUUCACCUCGAUGUAGUUCUUGUUCUGCCAGGACAGAUACAACAGCCACGGAAGCCCUAAACCGAGCCAGAUGUCGAAGACGUUAGACCCGACGGCGUUCGCGACGGCCAUGUCCGCGAGACCGUCCUUCGCGACGGAGAUGGAAGACAACGCGUCCGGGAUGGAGGUCCCCGCCGCGAGCACCGUCGUUCCCAUGACGACGUUCGGGAUGUUCAAGACGCAGCCGAUGACGACGCACCACUCAAUCAUCCAGUGCGUGAUGAAACCGAUCCAUCCGAUGGACAUAAAAAAGGACAUGAUGUAAUACUUUCGGUACUUUUCUUCGCCGCACGGAGGGAUCGUUCCGGCGAAGCACGCGUACCACGGGAACGAGAGGAACCACAGCGGCCAGUCCUUCUUCUCCUCCGGGACUUUCCACCACGGGGCGUCAUCCUCCUCGUCGCCGUCGUCCUUGUCCUUCCCCUCCUCGAGGUUCAGCGCCUCGCGGACGUCCUUCUUCUUCUUCGCCUCGAGCAUCGCCGCGACUUUUUUCAUCUCUUUGCGAUACGCGCGGAUGUGCCCCGGGGACAUAUACGGCGUGACCGUGACGUCCGUGCCGUCGUCUUGCUUGACGAUCGCGAUCUUCUUCCUCCACUUCUCCGCGUUCUCCUUGCGCUGCUGCUUGAUCAGGUCGAGGACGACGUCCGCGAUGGACGUCUUGGGCUGGGCCACGACGACGGACGUUCGCACUUUACCCCAGAGCGCCGCGCUCGUCCGCGGCUUCGCCGCCGCCGCCGCGGACUUCUUCGCCGCGACCGCGGCGACAGCCUGCGCCUCCUCAUCUUUCUUCGCCGCUUCCACGAAUUCGCUCCCGUCGCGCACGGAGUUCUCCUUCGAGCGCGGCAACGUCUGCGCCUCGACGUCGGCUUCUUCGACUUCAAUCUCGGACGCGUCGGCGGCGGCGGCGGAAACCGGCGCGGCGCCGUCGGUCGAUUCAACCACCGCGCCGGGGCCGUGCGAGGACGGUUCCUUGCUCGACUGCGCCUUCUCCGCGAGUGCCGCGGCUUUCUUCUCCUUCAUGGAGAUCUGCUUGAACUCCUUCUCCGGCUGCAUCCACUUCCCGCCCACCUUGUCCAUCCACUUCAUGAGGUGUUUGUUGUACUUCAUGGUGACGAUGUAGGUUCCGUAGAAGCAGACGUAGAUGCCGCCCUCCCACCAGUUAACGACGCCGCCGGCGAACGUGCCGACGAUGCCCGCGAUCGCGGCGGCGUAGAAGAAGCAAUCUCUCGUGACCGGCUUCCAGUCGAGCUGUAACGCCGCCCCCGUCGCCAUCACCGUGGCGCCGAUGAUGAUGAGGAUGUUAAAGAUCGCCGAGCCCACGAUCGUGCCGACGCCAAUUUCGCUCCCGGCGUUCGGGUUGAUCAGAGACAUCGUGGACGACGCGAGCUCGGGGGCGGAGGAGCCCGCGGCCAUGAACGUCGCGCCCGCGACGUCGUCGCUGAGGUCCAAGACUUCGCAGAUCACUUCGAGCGCAGGGACGAAGAAGUCGUCGCAGACGAUGGCGAUGCCCAAGAACAUGUAAAACAUUCCGAUGAAAUACAAGACGACGCCGCCGUUAUCUUCCCAGUCUUCGGUGGAGCACGUGCUGCUGCUCAGCAGUCUCCUCGCCGUCGUGGACGAGGACCCGAGGCCGGUGAUCGCGGAGAGAGACGCGCGCUCGCCGUCUGAGGGCCGUUCCAUACAAGCGAAUGUCGGAGUGGAGUUCAAAGGCGUCAGUUGGCGUUGAAAGGCGUCGUGGGCGGGGAUUGAAAGCGAGGUGUGGGCGGAGAGAGACGACGGCAAAAGUCCUUAAGGAUCGGCGUUCACCACGCGAACGCGGUCGUAUGGGGACCAGUGUAUAGAACGCGCCUGAGGCGAAGUCGAAGGACGGCGUCCAAUCUUUUCGCCCGAAAAAACUCUUCGAGCCGCCGCCGUAAUAGUACGUCGACACGCACGACACCGCCGCGGCGAGGAGCAUGAGUCCUUGCCUGCGACGUCGCGUUCGCGGGGUGGGUGGGAGGGUGGGUGGGAGGGAGGGGUGAGGAUCGCGGGAGGCGGGCGGGCGGGCGGCGCUAGUCGAUCGAUCGUCUAAAUUCGAUUCUCGCGACGCUGGGCUGGGUUAUGGUGGUUUUCUUCUGGGGACGACGGCAACCAUGCCGCAUCGACGGACGGGGGCUCGCGCGCUCGCCGCGGCGCGUCGCGUCGACGAGGCCGCGCGAGGGGAGAUCGCGUCGCGGUGUUCUUCGCGCACCGUUGACGGAGCUUAUCUUUGUAAGACAGCUUCGCGCGCGCCGCGCGGACGCGGCGGAUCAUGGAGGGCAACAUCACGAGGGAAUUUAGCGCGCGUCGCGCCCCGCCCCGCGCGCCCGAAAUUCACGCCGCGCCCGUCGCGCGUCGUCUCCUCCCCGUCGAUUCCGUUCCGUCCCGGAGCGGCGCGUUCGCGUCUCGAGACCUACGCGCGCGACGGAGCGAAAGUAUCGACCGCGCUGGGAUGGAUCCCGCGCGUCGUGGAGUGGCGCGCGCGCGGCGCGAGAGCCCCGACGCUUCCCGGGAGCCGGGACCGGGUGGGAGGGGGGGUUCGGCAAAAGAGAGCGAGCAACGGCUCCCCCUACUACGCGCGCAUGGGCAAUCAGUCCGAAACGUGUCAUCGCAAAGUAACAGAAUCGUGCUCGGACAUUCCCUUGUUUUCCGAACCUAACGAGCUGCCGGGAAGGGUCUGGUUACAAUAGCCGCAUAAUUUCACGUGUAUUGGUUUUCCGCUUCUUUCACGUUCACGACGCCAGCUCUAGCACGUUCCUCCUAUCCUCUCCUCCAAUCACGCCGGCCCGCCGCCGCGCGCGACCUCCCUCCCUACUACGAAUCACGUCACGCCACGUCACGACGUUCCUUCCUUCCACCAGCCGAUCGCGUCGACUACUCACUGAAACUUGUUCUGUAUCAACCGGUGGACGUGGCACAAAAACUCGACGUAACUCAUCCCGGCGGCGCUCCGAUCCUCGAUCAACCGCUGGUAAAACGAAUGCUCGCCGAUAUCCCCUCGCCGGUAUAUCCGCGUCCGCAUGUACGACGACCGCAUCUUCCGCAUGCAGUUCACCAUCUCGUUAACCGACGCGUUUGAGGCAUUUUCUAUCCGCGGGAUGUGCGCCGUCGUCGACGCGAUGUGGUCCGCGUGAUCCACCCCAAAGACGUCCCUCAGCAACGGCGCGGACGCCUGCUUACCGACCCACACGCUCAUCUCUCUUCCGUCCUCGAGGAGAUAAAUCCCAUCUUGCUCGAGUUUUUCCCCGGAGAGCCACGUCGUCUUCGGCAGCGGCGGGAACCUCGGCGGCGACUCCCCCGGCGUCGCCGCGAUCGGCAAUCGAUGAAUCGGGAAAUUUCGCGGGUACACCGACGGCACCGCCGCCGCCGCCGUCGCGCACGCGCCGAGGAGUAACCACGUCGCGCGGUCGUCCGCGCUCGCGUCUGAUCGCAAACCCAACGACUUGUGCAACCCGAGGGUGUACAGAGGCAGCACCUUGAGACCUUCCGGUAAGAUCAGCUGCCCGGUGCUGUUGUUCGUGGCGCAAAAUUUUCGAUACGCGUAGAGGGUGUUCACCGUCGCGUUGAGCGAGAGCUCCCGCGCCGCGAGCAGCGAGCAGUUCCCCGCGAGAAGCUUCGCGGAGCUCCGCCGAAUGAGGUCCAGCGUCUGCGCCUCGAGGUCGCUCGCGCGGAAGACGUUCCCGAGCGUGCUCGUCACCGGCAGCGCCAUCGUGUGCACGCGGAUGCGUCGCUCGCCGUCCGUCGUCGUGUACAGAAGCGCACACUGCACGCACGCCUCGCUCCCGUCCACGAGCUUGUCUUCGUACCGCAACGACACGCAGAUCGCCUUGUCGCAGUCGAUCGCGGGGAGGUCCACGUCCGUGGUCGUUCGCUUGCAGUAGAAGCCGUCGUAAUCGAUCACGCCGAGGCCGUUCGACGCGCGCACGCGCAUCACCGCCUCCAUACCUUGCGGCCUCAGGGUCGUUCCAUACAAAGCGACGUCGGGGUGGAGUUCAAAGGCGUCAGUUGGAGUUGAAAGGCGCCGAGGGCGGGUAUUGAAAGCGAGGUGUGGGCGGAGAGACACGCCGGCAAAGUCCUUAAGGAUCGGCGUUCACCACGCCGACGGGGUCGUAUGGGAACCACUGUGUAGAACGCACCUCAAGACGUUCCACCGCAGGUCGUUGUGGAGCUGCGCGAAAUCCAGCGUGGUGUUGAAGUUGGGAUAGCGAUACAGCGACCCGCCGGUGACUCGCGGUAACACCCCCAACGACGCGACGUCGACGUACCCGUUCGUGAGGAGGAAGAGGUCGAUCGCGACCUGGUACUCCGCGGCUUCCACCGCGAGCUUCAUGUAACACUUAUCCCCGGGCGCGAGGUACUUGGCGGCGUCCUUGUCGGAUUCGUUGUUGAAACCGCCGCCGCCGCCGCCGCCGCCGCCCGCGGUGCUCCCCUGGUUCACCGGCCCGCGCGGUUUCAACGCGCCCAUCCCACCGGUGGGCAGCGACGCGAUGAACGCGAGGACGCGCCCGCCGAUCGGUUUGAGCGCUUCCACGCACGCUUUCACCGCGGCGGCGCUGCACGGCGCCCCGCGUCGGCCGUUUUCCAUCGGGUCGCAAAACAUCUUCGGCAGCUGCUUCAACACGCCGUCGAUCGCGUCGCGGUUCGGCCCGAGCGGCACCGCGAGCCCGUCCGGCACGGGCGCGUACGGCUCGUCCACGUCCGGCACGACGAGCAUCCGCGGCGCCCCGCUCGCGCCUCCCUGCGCGAUGUGAUAAAAAUGCGCCGCCGCGUCGAAGGUGCACAAUCCGACUAACGUUCGAUCCGGGUUCGGUACCGUGUCUAGCGUCCGCGCGAUCGCCUCGAUCGCGGACGUCGUCGCGCCCGUCUCCACCGCGCGCGGCGAGACGUCGACGCAGAAGAAGAGCGCGGGGGACAUCGGCGCUCGAACCAUGUACUCCGGCGGCGCGACGUACUCUACGCUGCCCUUGCACAACUCCGGACGCUCGGACCAGUCCGAUCUGCGUCCGUCCGCGCCCAACGCGCAGCCGUACUCGCGCGGGCACUCGCCGGCGAACCCGCAAAAGUUGCACGCGAAUCGCGAGUGGUCGAGCCAGCGCAUGAACGGGUUCAUGUACGCCUUGCACCGCCCGCACCGCACCGGUCCGCACUCGCCGUUGUCCACCACCUGUAUCGGCGCCUCCUCCGCGUGCGGCAGCGCGAGCGGCUGCACGACGAUCGUGAGCGGCAUCCCCGACGACGCCAACAACUCCGACGUGUUCGGUAUCGUGCUCAUCGUCGAUCGCAUGUACCGCGGGUUGCAGCACCCCGCGUCGCGCGCGAUGAACGUGGUGUUCGCGCUCGGCGGGUGCGUCGCCGUGCCGUGCGUCGUCCGCGUGUCGUGUUUGACGACGUCCGCGUGGUCGUCGUGCGGCGGCCGCGGGAUCUGCGCCGGGUCGAUCCUCUGGGACGACGACGACGACGACGACGCGGGCCCGGGCGGCGCGACGCCCACGCCGGGGCGCGCGGGGGGCGGGACCAUCGACCCGCCGGGCCCGCCGAUGGGGGGACCCGUCGGCGGCGGCCCGGGGAUCCCCGCGGGGGGCGGACGACCGGGGUACGUACCGUGUUGUCGUUGGUGUUGCUGCGGGUAUUGUUGGUAUUGGGGCGGCGCCAUUCCCAUUCCCAUUCCCGGCGGCGUGCCUCCCGGGACCGGGACCGCGCCCGCUCCCGGCGGCGGCCCGGGGCCAGCGCCGCGCUGCUGCUGCGUCGGCGGCGGCGGCAUCGGCGCUCCCGGGCCGCGCGGAGGGCCCGCUCCCGGCGGCGCCCCCAUCUGCGGCGGCGCGCCCGCUCCCGGCGGCGCCCCCAUCUGCGGCGGCGCGCCCGCUCCCGGCGGUGCCCCCAUCUGCGGCGCGCCCAUCGGCGGCGCCCCCAUCGGCGGCGGCGCCCCCAUCGGCGGCGGCGCCCCCAUCAUCGGCGGCGCGCCCAUCGGCGGCGGUCCUUUCAUCGUCGUCGUCGUCGUCGGCGGCGCCCCCACGCUCAUCGCGUUGAACGCCGCGGUCGGCGGCGCGUACGCCGUCGGCGGCGCGUACGCCGUCGGCGGCGUCCCCGGCGGCGGGAACUGCGGGUACAUCGCCUUACCGGGAGGGCCCGCCCCGGCCCCCGGCGGGGGACGCGUCGUCGUCUGCGUCGUCGGUCCCGCGGGCGGAACCGGUCCUCCUCCUGGCGGACGGACGGGGAGACGGGCGGCGCGGAGGGUCAGCGGCGACGAUCGCAUCGCGCGGGGAGGACGAGGAAGGCGGGGCGAGGGUCGUCGAUCGACGAGCGCUCGGAGGCGGGGCGAUCGAACGAUCGCGCGGAUCUGGCGGGUAAUAAUCCCGACGCGACCGUCGUCGUGCGCGCGACGAACCGCGCGACGAUCGGUCGACCGAUCUCGCGCGAACGCCGGCGCGAGACGGACGCGAGGGCGCGCGCGCGCACCUGGAUACGUCAUCGGCGGUCCACCAGGGGGUGCGCCGUUCGGCGGGCGGUACGCGGGCGGCGGCUGCAUCGCGCCGUCGCGUCGCGCGGACUGACCGACGCUUCGACGCCCCCGCGGCUUCGCGCGUCGCUUUUUCUCGCAUCAUCAAACAGAACUCAACACCGAUCAGCGGCGGGGCGCGAACGACAACGAACGAAGACGCGAUUCCGGAUUUCUUCCGCGACGGACCUCCGUCUGUUACACCCCCGUCGAUCUACGUCCUAACGCGCUACGUACCCCUAAACCGAAACCCACCCCGCCUUCGUAACCCCCUACACAGCCCCGUUACACGACAGACAAACCCCCGCCACGCCACGCGUCACUCUCUCAUUUUUCGUUGAUAUCCCGCGUGUACCUGUCGUUCGCGUUUGCCGCCGCCGCCUUCUCGAGGUUCUCCUUCAUGUCCGCCUCGAAGUAUCGCAUCCCCACGCCGACGUCCCGAUACUUUUCGUGCAUCAUUCGCAGGUCCUUCGAGACGCUCCUCCUCGCGGCUUUGAUGCUGCCGUCGCUGCGGUAGUCGCCGUCGCGUCGCGCGGCGCCGCCGUCGCCGUACACCGCUGUUAUCAGGAAGGGGGCGUUCGGCGCGACGCGACGUCGGGGCGGGCGGAGUUGAAAGGCGUCAGACGGAGUUGAAAGGCGUCAUAGGGUCGGGUAUUGAAAGCGAGGGACCCUGGGCGGAGAGAACCGACGCCGGGAAAAGAAAGUCCUUAAGAAACGGCGUGCACCGCGCCGACGCGGUCGUGUGGGGACCAGUGUGAGGAGAACGUGCCUUUUAUUCGCACCGGGCCGUGCGCCGCCAACGCGCCCUCCUCGUCGUUUUGAUCCAUCAGCGCCUGUCGGGACGGGGUGUGAUUGGUGGGUGAUGUGGCGGGAAGUGAUGUGAUUGGUUAGUUAAUUUAUGACGUGGACAUUUCAUUGGACGAGAGCGACGCAGAGGGCGCCGGGAAAAGUCCUCAAGGAACGGCGUUCACGACGCGAACGCGGUCGCGUGGUCGUACGGGGACCGGCGCGACGAGAGACGAGACGGGACGCGCCUUGGCCUGGGCGCGUCUUCGUGCGCGGCGGUAGCCGACCUCGACCGCCAUGCUGUGCUUCGUUCGCACCGUGUGCCCGCGGAACGAGGCCUGGAUCAUCGUCGCGGCGGCCUCCUCCUCCUCCUCCUCCUGCGCGGAGGGAUCGACGCGAGAGGGGAGGGGAGGGAUCGUCGGAGGUGGAACGCGGCGCGGAUCAUGGUGUUGUUGUUAUCCUUCCGCGCGAGGGAACGAACGAGGAUCGGGAACGAAGACGCGCGCGGGAAGGGGAGCGCACCUCGCAUAAUGUGCCGCCGCCGCACCUGUGGGCCGCGCGGGGGAGAGACGAGAGGGCGGAGCGGAGGGAUCGACGUCAGGGAGCGUCGCGAGGGAUCGAGGAGGGUGGGGGCGGCGACGGGGGAUCGGAGCGACGCGUGCAUUUAUUUCUGCGUCGUCCGGCGACGACGACGAGGUCGACCGCUCGCGUUCGUUCGUUCGUUCGUCCGCCGCGCACCCGAAUAUCGCCCCGCACGUCCACGCUUCGAACCACCCCUUGGGCUCUUUAUGCGCUUCCCUCCGCCGCUGCGAACGCGCUCGCUCCAUCGUGGUUCGCACGCCCGCACCCGGCAGCCCGGCGCGCGCGAACCCAGUGAAGACGAACAAUUGCGCAAUGCGAGAGUUCGAGCAUUGCGGGCGGAGAAGGGCGAACAUCUUAUUUAAUCAUUUACACGGUCCGCCGCUCCUCGAUGCGAUAUAAAACAUGCGUGAAAUUUUAAUCGAUGGACUUCUUCUGCGCCUUCGCGAAGAAGCUCUUCUGCUUCUUCGGCGUGCCUUUCGUCCCCGGCGCGGGCGCGUUCAUCGACCCGGUCAGGACGCCCAUGAUGAGCGGCUGUAAAAAGAGAAAAAACACACAAUGGACUCAGACGGUCGGCCCGGCGACGCGAACAGAGAGAGACGACGCGCGUCUCGAGCGCCGAAACGAAGAAAUCGGGUUCAGGGUUCGGCCGCGAAGUCCUCGAGUCCUCUGUGAGAACCGCGAGGAGGCACCGCGCGAAGGAACGAGAGCGACGUGUGUAUGGGGAACGGUCGCGGCGCGCGCCUGCAGCUUCGUCAUCAAAAACUCCGUCGCCUUCGCGCUGUACACGCUGAGGGUCGUUCCAUACAAAGCGAUGUCGGGGUGGAGUUGAAAGGCGUCAGAAGUGUAGUUGAAAGGCGUCGAGGGCGGGUAUUGAAACCGUGGGAUGGGCGGAGAGACACGCCGGGAAAAGUCCUUAAGGAUCGGCGUUCACCACGCCGACGCGGUCGUAUGGGGACCAGUGUAUAGAACGCGCCUGACGCUCGCUAACCCUUUCGACUUCAACCCGUUCGCUCGCUGGUCGAUCAACGGCUCGUUCCGUACGAGGAACGGCCCGACGUACGUCUCGUAGAUGAACAGCGCGCCCUGGGUCUUCGUGUGCCAGAGAUACACGACGAAGAAGCACUUCGCCUCGUCGUAGAGCGGAAACCAACCGAUGAGGAUGUCCGGUAUGAAGAACAGGGACGUGCAGAUGCCGUAGACCAUCCAGUACACGAGCCACUUCUUCACGGAGUCGGGCUUGGCUUUGAACUUCGCGAGCGCCUGAUGGAGGGUAGGGUGGACGAUGGAUGGACGGACGGAGCGGAGCGGGGUGGAAGAGGAAGGAGGGGCGCGUCAGGAGGCGACGGACGGGACGGGGGCGCGAACGCGAAUCGAUCGGAAAAAAAAAGAUUACAGCGCGCGCGCGUUUGAACGCCCGUCCGGGGGAAUCGUCCGCGCGCCUUGAAGCUGCGGUAGCCGGGGUACACGCUCCCUAAGAUCAGGAGCGCGAGCUUCGCGAGAGGACCGAACAUGACGCUGGGUCGCGGUGUGAUUCGUUCGCGGCGCGGGAGUCGCGCGCGAUCUAGUGCCGGGGGAUGGCCCCGGGAUCGGUCACGAACCUUUUCGCGCGGGAAAAAAAAAAUCCACGCGCGUUCAUCACUUCGGUUCGGUUGGAGAAAAAAUCGUCUCUGUUUCAAUACGAAGCCUUCGUCGUCGCGGCGUUCUCUUCAUCACCAUCUCCAUCUCACUUCUUCUUCUUCGUCAUUCUCUGCCAAAACGACGCCUUCUUCUUCGCGUUCGCGACCGCCGCGAUGUCGGACGGCGCCCCGUUCGCUUUCGACGCUUUGUACGCCGCCGUUUCCUCCGCCGCCGCCGCCGCGAUCUCGCCGCCGCCGCCGCCGCCGCCCGCCGCGUCCCCGGCCGCCGCGCCCUUUUUCCGCUUUGUGUCCUUAUUCUCCGCCGCCUUCGCCGCCUCCUCGCGCAGCUUCUUGUUCUUCUUCUCCAAGACGACGGCGUCCUGUAACGCCAAGUUCACGCACGUUUCUCUUUGCUCCGGCGUAAACUUCCGAAACCCGUUCUCCAACGCCGUCGCGUCGUCGCGCCGGCUCGCGUUCGCGAUCUCGAUCACGCCCAUCAAACCGACCGUCGCGAGCGGCAUCAGCGCUUUCCGAUCGCACGGCAGGUCGUUCGACUUCAUCCACACCGCGAGGGCUUUCAUGCGCGCGUACGUCCCGCCCGUCGACGUCCCGACCUCCUCCCCCCCGCCGCCUCGAACAUCGCCGCUCUUCUUACUCCCUCCUCCUCCUUUCCCUUUCUUUUCCCACGCCCACUCCGGGACGGUCUCCCCCGCGCGUUGCAGCGCCUGGAUCGCGUACGGCUUCCAUAUAUCCCGCGCGUGGACGUCCACGUCGCAGGAGAUGAGCAUCCCUCGUAUCAGCGCGACGACGCGAAUCAUCAUGAACACCUCCUCCGGAAUCGUCCGGAUGUUCACCGCGCGCAUCUCCGCCGGAAGAUCCGCGUCCAAAGGCGACACGUGCGCUUCCUCGAUGUCCAUCCGCGUGUCGAACAGGAUGUACAACACCGUGAGCGCGAAGUCCGGGGACGCGUUCGUGAGUCGUAAGCCCAGGGUUUCCGCGUGUGCGAGCGCGUCGUCUCGCGCGCCGCACGCCAACGCGAGCGUGAGCUUCGCGAGGGUGAUUCGCGUCUCGUCCGACAGCACCUUAGGGUCGAGGGUCCAUUCGAAGCGACGAAUGUCGGGGUGGAGUUGAAAGGCGUCAGAAGCGGAGUUGAAAGGCGUCGAGGUGUGUAGGGAUUGAAAGCGAGGGGCGCGCGGAGAGAACCGACGCCGGGAAAAGAAAGUCCUCAAGGAUCGGCGUUCACCGCGCCGACGCGGUCGUAUGGGGACCAGUGUAAAUAAUAUGAACGCGCCUUACACUGCCCAAAGUCGAUGAGCGACAGCGUCUUCCCGUCCGGCGACAGCAGCAAAUUCCCGGGGUGCGGGUCCGAGUGGAACGUCCCAAUCUCAAAGAUCUGCACGCCGAAGGUUUCCACGAGCUUCGUCAGCACCCUCGACGCGUCGACGGCGGCGCCCGACGGUGAGGUCUUCAUCGCCGCCGCCGCGGCUUCGCUGUGCCCCGCGCGCGUGCUCAGCCCGUUCGCGUUCAGCGCACGCUGAAUGACGUCCGCGAGGGACUCGCCCUCGACGAAGCUCAUCGUCAGGACGCGCUUGCUCGACAUCGCCUCGAACGCGGCGGGGCACCGGACGUCCGGCACCGCGCGCGUCACCGCGCCGCCGAUUCUCGUCAGCAUAUCGCGUUCCCUCUCGAAAUCAAACUCCAACGGGACUUGGUUUCUGUACUCUCGCAGAAUAGACGUGUGGUCGAACGGGAGGUGGAUCUUCAUUCGGUCCAUCGCAUUCGACACGAACAGCAUGUUCGCCAUGUCCAUCGUCAUCAGAGCCUCCGACCCCGGGUUUUGAACCUUGACGGCGACUUUCGUUCUCUUGCCGUCUCUACGAGUCGUUCCAUACGAGCGAACGUCGGGGUGGAGUUGAAAGGCGUCAGGGGUGGUGUUGAAAGGCGCCGAGGUGUGUCGGGAUUGAAAGCGAGGGACCCUGGGCGGAGAGAUGCGCCGGGAGAGAAAGUCCUUAAGGAUCGGCGUUCACCACGCCGACGCGGUCGUAUGGGGACCAGUGUGAGGAGAACGCGCCUAAGAGUCGCCGCGUGCACUUGCGCGAUGGUCGCGCUCGCGAUCGGUUUCUGUUGGAACGUGAAGAACGUCGAGGUCACGCUCGACCCCAAGUCUUCCUCCACGAUCUUCGCGAUCUCCGCGAACGGCACGGGCGGGCACUCGUCGAAGACGCCCUUCAGCGCGCUCACGUACUGCGGCGGCAAGAGGUCGCUCUUUGUCGCGAACACUUGGCCGACUUUGAGGUAAAACCCGCCCAGGUCGUGGAUCAUGUCCGCGACGCGCGAUGCGCCCCACGCGUGCUUCGCGUCCCACGCGUCUUGGAUCUCGUCCUCGGACGCGCCGGUCGCGGCGAGGCGCUUGGAGUCGAUCAGGAGGCAUUUGAGGUAUCCCGCGAUCACCGGAAACAGGUGCCCGUAGAAUCGCAGCGUUCGGAGCACCCCCGGCGCGGCGACCGAGAGGACGCUCGGCGCGACGCGCACGACGACGAGAGGCGCGAGCAUCCUCGGAACGAAGGCGGGCAGCGGCAGCGGCGUCGCCGGCGGCGAGAUGACCUUGAUCCCGCCGAUCGAGACGCCUCCGGAGACCACCGCGAGGACGCUCAACGCGUCGCGUUCGCGCCGACCGCGGAACGUCUUCACCGCGAGCACGACCGCGAGCGGGAGCGCGCCGUUCACCGCGCCGAACGUCACCUUCGACGCCGCGCCGAGGAGCGCGGCGGCGAACCCGAGCGGCAGGGGGAGAGACUUGGCGCGGUUCGAGUUCGAUCGCGCGCGCGCGCGAGGCGGCGCGAUCGCGCCGUCGCCUCCGCGCACGUUUCCUCGACGUCCGCCUCCGUCGUCGCCAUCGCGCGACGCCGACGCCGACGCCGACGCCGACGCCUUCUUCGCCUUCUUCGCGUCGUCCGCCUUCUUCUGCCGCUUCGCGGCGUCGUCGGAAUGAUGCUUGGAGUCCGACGCCGCGUUCGCGAUGGACGCCUCGAGCUUCACGCGCCACGCCGGAGGAGGCGCGGGCGCGGGAUGGCCGAACCCGCCCCUUCGCAGAUCCCUCCGCUGCUUCUUCGCGGUCGGGGCGGACAUGGCUGCUGGCUGGUCGCUCCCGCGGACGGCGACGCGCGCGCGACCCGAGACGACGCCACGCCGAGCGAGCGGCGGCGGCGGCGGCGGCGGCGCGGUGGCGUGCGCGCGCGCGUGCGGCGGGCGACUCGUCCGUCUGCUCGCGCGCGAUCGAUGUGCGACGACGCGACGCAACGAUUCGAUCUGCAUCAACACAGCUGUGUUGUUGGGCCGUCGAACGCGCGGCGAGUUUUUCACUGAGUUUUUGAGUUUUUGGAAAAAAAUAAUGGAUGGCGUGUGUGUAUUAAACGCUCUGCACGGAGGACGUCUUCUUCGUCGAGGACCCUCCCCCUCCGCUCGCGCUCGCGUCGACGCCGCCGAGACGCGAAGACGUCGGCGCGCGCGCUCGGGUGGGCGCGUCGGCGACGGGCUUCACGUUCGAAGUCGAAGUCGACGUCGACGUCGCCGCCGUCGCCGCGGUCGCCGCGGUCGCCGCCGCCGCCGCCGACGACGACCCCGGCGCCUUCCCCGCCGCGGGAGCCGUCGAAGACGACUUCGAAGACGCCGCCUUCUUCGUCGCGCCCGUCGUCGACGACGAGGAGGUCGUCGACUUCGUCGUCGACUUCGUCGUCGACUUCGUCGUCGCGGUCGCGGUCGUCGUCGCCGCCGCGGGCGCGGGCGCGGGCGCCACGUCGACAAUCUCGCUCGGCGCCGCGUCGUUCUUGUGCUCCUUCUUCACCGCGCUCUCCGCGUACGACUCCGCGUCGAUCUCCGGGAAGUCCUUCAUCAUCGCGGCGUCGUUCACGACCGGCGAGGGCGCGGGCGCGUCCGACGGCGGCGUCGCCGCGAGCGCGACGGACCCGACGACCGCGACCGCUUUCGAGGACGCCGCCGCCGCCGCCGACGUCGACGGCGGCGGCGGCUCGGCGACCGCGACCGGCGCGGGGGGGACCGUCGCCAUCGUCGUCGUGGUCGUGGUCGCGGGCGCGGGCGCGGGCGCGGGCGCGGGCGCGGCGUCGACUUCGGUCGACGACGACUUCGCGACGCCCGCCGGCGCGGGCGCCGCGGGCGCCGCCGCCGCCUUCGCCUUCGUCGUCGCCGUCGCAACCUUCUCGGUCAGCUUCUCCGCGAUGGACACCCCGCCCACCCCGGCGCCCGCGCGCGUCCUCUUCACGUCCGGGACGGGCGGGUACGACGCGCCGGGCGGGUUCGUCCACACCGGGAUCUCGCGACCCGAUCGCUUCGUCGUCGCGGCGACGGCGGGGGACGGCGCCGGCGCGUCGUCGUCCUCGUCGUCCUUCGUCCGCGCCUUCGUCCGAUCCGCGGGCGCGGGCGCGGGCGUCUCGGUAUCGGUAUCGGUCUCGGUCUCGUCCGUCUCCUUCGCGCGCGCGUCUCCGAACCCGGAGCCGCGCGACGUCGACGCAAGCAGGCUCGGGCUCGGGCUCGGGCUCUCGCCGUCGCCGUCCUCCGUCGUCGUCGUCGUCGUCGUCGUCGUCGUCGUCUCGGUCGCCGCCGCCGUCGUCGUCGGCGCGAAGCCCGUCAGAGGCGCGUCCGGGGGCGCGUCCUCGUCGUCGGGCGCGUCCUCGAUCGUCGCCUCGGACGUGGCGGUGUUCUUCCCGCUCGGAGGCGCCUCCGCCGCCGGCUCCGCGUCGUCGUCGUCGUACGACGGCGCUCUCGUCGCGUCCGUCGCCUUCUUCGGGCCGUUCUAUACAAGCGAAAGUCGGGGUGGAGUUGAAAGGCGUCAGUGGGAGUUGAAAGGCGCCGAUGGCGGGGAUUGAAAGCGUGGGGUGGGCGGAGAGAUGCGCCGGGCAAAGUCCUUAAGGAUCGGCGUUCACCACGCCAACGCGGUCGUAUGGGAACCAGUGUAUAGAACGCACCUUCGUCUUCAUCGCGUUCGAGUCGGCGAUCGGAUCGAUCGGAGGGAGGUCCUCCUCCGCCGCGCUCGCGCUCGUCGUCGACGCCUCGAUCGGCGGCGUCUCCAUGGGGGGCGUCUCCGGCAGCGGGACGUGCCCGGCCGCGUUGCUGUGCGAGCCUUGGUCGUACGCGGCGUCGGCGUCGGCGUCGGCGGCGGCGUUGGCGGCGGUCGAAUCGAAUCGCGCGGACGUCGAGGAUGAGACUGCGCUCGGGAGCCACUCUUCCCCGGCGUCGUCGUCGCCGCCGUCGCGGUCGCCGCCGCCGAAGAACCCGCCGGCACCCGCGGCGUAGUACGCGACGACGCCGAUCACCGCGGCCGCGGCGCAGAGCUUCGCGUAUCGCUUCGCCCUCGCGCGCGCGCUCGGCGGCUUCCUCGAUCCGAACGCUUGCAUCGGCCGACCCCCGGCGUGUCCUCUCGCGCCGAGGACGCCGCCGUCCGAGGACGCGACGCCCGCGCCGCCGAGCGGCGACGACGCGCGCGGCUUGUUCGACGCCAGCGGCGGGUUCGACGACGUCGUGGAAGGGCCGGGGGUCCAGUCGUCGUCGUCGCCCCAGUCGCUGGACACGACCGAGUCGCCGCGCGCGUGGUGCGACGGGAGGGGACCGUCGCUCGUCGUCGCCAUCGUAUUCUCGCGUCCGAUCGAACGACGCGAUCGAUCCGCGCGCGAUGCGAUGCGACGCCUCCCUCCUCCUCCUCCUCCUCCGUUCGGAGAAGACCGAGCGCGACGAGACGGCCGCCGCGAUUCGAUUCGAUUCGAUUCGAUUCGAUCGUCGCGAAGGGACGCGAUCGAUCGAGCGGGGGGGACGCUCUCGCGCACGCGCGUGUGACGACGAACGACGACGCCGCGGGCCGCGGCCUUCCGGUCGGACGGUGGGCGUGCGGCAAGCGCUCAGCCACUCGCGUCGCGCCGCGCGCUAGCUACAGCUACCUGACCGAUACCGUGAGGCUCGGGAGGAGGGACCGUCGCGAUGUCGUCGCGCGACUCGCACUCUCGACCGCGCCGCCGCGUCGCGCCGCGCCGUCAUGAGGUGCGCCGCGGUCGCGAACGCGCGAUGGGCGACGCCGCCGACGCGCGCGUCGGCGGCGCCGCGCGCGGUGCGCCGCGCGCGCGCGUCGUCGUCGUCGUCGUCGUCGUCGUCGUCGUCGUCGUCGCGAAUACCGACGACGACGCGACGACGCGUCGUCGCGUCCGCGAACGACGACGACGCCGACGCCGGCGCGGAGAAGAAGAAGAAGCCCGCGACGAGCGUCACCACCGCGGCGGACACGAUGUCCGCGCUGGACGCCCUCCUCGGCGCGGCGGAAGAGACGCCAACUGAUGAAGACGAUCCUCCUCCUCCUCCUCCGUCGACAAAAAUAACCAUCGACGCGACGAAACCCGGCGCGCGAUCGUCGCCGUCGCCGUCCCCGUUCGCGUCCGCGCUCACGGAGGCGCCGUCGACGCCGUCCGCCUCCGAGCCGGACUACGACCCGGACUUCGACCCGCUCGGGUUGGGGCCGCGAUGGGACGUGCCGUGGGGGUGGCCGACGACGUUGGGGACGCUGUUCCUCGUCGACGCGAUGUUUUACGUCAGGUGCGCGCGACGCGGCGUUGGAUGAUUUACGGACGCCCCGCCCGCCGCCCGCCGCCCGCGCGUCCACGCGUCCACGCGUCGACUCGCGAUCGUACACUCCGCGUUCUUAUUCGCUGCACGCCGCCAUGUCAUCGAAUCCGAUCACGAACUGACCAAUCCAAUCGCGUCUUCCCGCAUUUCCCCCGUCGUCAGCGGCGCGCUGGCGCCCGCGCUCGUGUACUCCGCGGCGAGAGACCCGCUCGAGAUGCCGUUGGACUCCGAGAGGGAGUUCGCGUACGAUUUCGGUCUCGUCAUGGACGACCCCGCGAACUUCAGCGACGUCAUCGUCCUCGCGGAGGUCAUCCAGUGCGUCGCGACGUUUGCGAUACUCGCCGCGGUGACGGCCCCGAAGCGGCCGCUGCCGCCCGGGUGGUUUCAAUUUUCCGUCACGGGUGACAAAAACAACGCGGCGGAGGACGUCGAGGGCAAGGUUGUCGCGAGGGAAGAGAAGAAGAAGAAGAGAGGAAAUGGUUUAUUAGGGGGUAUGAUGUGGGGUAAUCUUCUCGAGCGCGGCGGCGGUUUGGACGACGGCGAGGAAGAGAGAGGGGCGGGGACGGACGCCACCGCCGCCGCGGAGAAAGAGAGGAGCGUCUCUUCGUCGCGAGCGAAGAAGAACAAAGCCGUCGCGGCGCAGAAGAAACGAAGCGCCGAGUGGCUCGGGGAAGCCGGGAACUCCGUCCUCAUCGUCUGGCUCGCCGUGCUCGGGAUAACGGCUCUUUCUUAUGCGUUAGGUUUACGCGGCGACGACGUCGGCAGCGAAGGCGGCGGCGUCAUCGAGAAGGCGUUUAAAGCCGGCCCGCGGGGCGCGUGGUCGAUUUUCCUCACCACCGUGGUCCUCGCGCCCAUCAUCGAGGAGACCGUCUUCCGAGGGUUCCUCCUGCCGUCGCUGACCAAGUACAUGCCGACGUGGAACGCGCUCGCGGUGACGACCGUCGUGUUCGCCCUCGUGCACGACCACAACACCGGGGACACGUUACAGCUCCUGUGCGUCGGCGCGGUGGCGGGGUCGGUGUACUGUCGGACGCGGAACCUCGCGGCGAGCGUCCUUGUGCACGCGUCGUUCAACUUGGGCGUCUUGUUCUUGUUCUCCGCCUGGACGAACAGCGGUUGACGCGCGUAGACUGUAGUUUCUAUUGUAGUUUCCUCUUUGUUUUUGUAUCUCUCUUCAUCAUCGUGACACACAAUAAAUAGCACCUUCCUCAUGCGUUCGUUGGUCUAUUUUAUACACGCGCCGCCGCCGCCGCCGCCGCCUAGAACAGCAACGGAACCUUCUUCGCGGCUUGCUCCUUCUUCGCUUCAAACUCCGCGGCGCUCAUCUUCGGUGGCGCGCUCGCCGCGGGCGCCACCUCCGUCGGGAUAUCGUCGUCGAUCUCCGGGGCCUUCGUCGCCGACUGCUGCUGCUGCUUCGCGUGCUUUUGCCCCGCCGCGUCGUCGUCCGAGUCCGAGUCGUUUUCCGCCAUCGCGAGAAUCUUUGACUUUUUCUUCUUCGCCCCCGUCGCGCCCACCGCCGCCAUCGGCGGCUUCGGCUUCGGCGGCGCCUUCCUCGGCCCGCCGACGCCUCCCGUCUCGAUCCACCCGUACGCCUUCCCGCCGUCGAUCGGCCCCCACACCCUCUUCGGCGCUUCCACGACCACCUCCUCCUCCGGGUCCUCGUCCAGCUUAAUCUUUUUCGUCUUCGGGUCGAGGGUCCGUUCGAAGCGACGAACGUCGGGGUGGAGUUGAAAGGCGUCAGAAGCGGAGUUGAAAGGCAGGCGUCGCGGUGUGUCGGGAUUGAAAGCGAGGGGGGGGCGCGUAGAGAUGCGCCGGGAGAGAAAGUCCUCGAGGAACGGCGUUCACCACGCCGACGCGGUCGUACGGGGACCGGUGUAAACGUGAACGCGCCUUGAACUGCAGCACCGCGCGGUCCCUCCCGCCGGCGCUGAACAGUCGCGCGUCGUCCGAGCUAAACCGCGCGCACAUCGUGUGGCUCGCGUGGCCCUUAUACUCCCGGUACGGCGCGUCGUUGAACACGCACGGGUAGUUGAACAGCUUCACCUUACCGAAGUCGUCCGCGGUGACGCAGUAUCCGGCGCCGUCGAGGCCGUUGGCGCCCUCCGCGACUCUCACGAGCGGAAUCUUCUUCUUCUUGUCUUGAAACGCGCGACCGCACUGCGCGACGUCCACGGCGUUGACGUCCGUGCCGUCGCUGCCGUCCUCCCACACGCCCAUGACCGGGAACCCGAUCCUGUUCGUCCACGUCGCCCACCUCGUAUCUCUCUGCGACGCGAGGACUUGUUUUCCGGUUAACGGGUCCCAGUACAAAAUCUCAGGGUCGUUCCAUACAAAGCGAUGGCGGGGUGGAGUUGAAAGGCGUCAGUUGAAGGUGAAAGGCGUCCAGGGCGGGUAUUCAAAGCGAGGGGUGGGCGGAGAGAUGCGCCGGCAAAAGUCCUUAAGGAUCGGCGUUCACCACGCCAACGCGGUCGUAUGGGGACCAGUGUAUAGAACGCACCUCAUACGACGCGCACGACGUCUGGAGCACUCGGCGAUUCUCGACGCCGUGCAGCGUCAUCGGCAGCGACCAGUCCAGGUGAUUGAUCGACGCCUGGUGGCCUUGGCACCGAGACAGGUGCACGUACCCGCGCUCGACGUCGUACACGUCCACGCACAGGUCGUGCGACCCGACCGCGAGCAUCGGUCUGGGGCCCUGGCAGUACUUCAGGUCGGACACCUCCUUCGCCGACUCCUUCAGCUUGGCCAACGGCUGCAACGUCACCGCGUCGAUGAUCGCCACGUUGCCAAACUUCCCGCCGAUCGCGAGGUGAUGCCCCGCGGGGAUCUCCACCGGCGCGUUCGGGUUCGGGACGUCGUACUGACCAGGCUUCGGCUUCGGUUUCGGUUUCGCCGGGGGGGUCCAUCCCGGGAAGUACACCGCCGACGCCGGCACGGGGUCCACGGAGAAGGCGACCGACCGCCCCACGACGCCCGUGGGCGCGGUUCGGACCAUGUUCCGCUCGGCCGCGUUCCACAGGUACACGCGGUCCGCCGCGGAAGCGGUCGCGAACACGUUCGGGUCCCUCGGGUGCGUCGCGACGGCGUAUAAAUCCGCCAUGUGGCCGUAGACUUGUACGCUCACCGUCGGUCGCUUCGCGCCCGGUUUGUAUUCUAUCUCCCAAACCUCGCAUCGGUUCGUGCCGAAGACGAACUCCAUCGGGAGCUCGUCCCCGGGCUUCGCCGGGGGGCGGCAGUCCAGCGCUCGAAUCGCGGGCGGGCCCUCGCCGCGGUACGGGCUCGUGAUCUGGAACGAGUGCGGCCCGUUCUUCUGCGUCGCAUUUUUCGCGAGACGUCUCAAGACGACGGCGACCUUGGGCCGUUCCAUACGAGCGAACGUCGGGGUGGAGUUCAUAGGCGUCAGAAGCGGAGUUGAAAGGCGUCGAGGGCGGGGAAAGAAAGCGAGGGGUGAUGGGCGGAGAGAAUCGCCGGGAGAGAAAGUCCUUAAGGAUCGGCGUUCACCACGCCGACGGGGUCGUAUGGGGACCAGUGUGAGAUAGAACGCGCCUUCUUCUCCACCCCGGGCUUCCCCGGGCCGUCCGUCCUCGGCCGACCCGCGACGGCGACGAGCCCGUCGGAGACUUCCCACGUGUGAAUCCACCCGUCCGCGCCCGCGGUGAGCAGCGUGUCGCCGUCCGCGCGGAGGCACAGCCCGCGGAUGCCGCCGUAGGUUGUGGUGCCGUCGUUCAGGUUGAUCCUCGCGCCGACGCCGUGCGCGUCGGACACGCGUUGGAUCAAGUUGACGUUCCACUCCGCCACGAGCUCGGGGCUCACGCGCGGGUCCACCGGGUUAUUACUCGCGUCCUGGUGCGUCACGAGCCAGAUCCCGAGCGCGCCGAGCGGGUGCCCGGUGACGAUGACGUUGUACCGGACGUAUUCCGCGGACACGAUGGACUCGCCGCCGAUUUGCGAUUGCGACGACGGUUUGUUCAUCGAUCCCGAGCCGCUCUCCCCCUCCGCCGCGGCGGAGCCCUUGACGCCGCCGAACGUGCCCUUGGGCUUGAGCUUCGCCGCCGCCGCCGCCGCCGCCGGGUUUGAACCUGAAACGUUUCCCUUUCCAACCUUCGUCAGCGCCGUCAUCGACGCGCUGAGCGGCGCCUUCGACGCGACGCCGCCGCCGGAGCUCGCCGCCGCCGGCGCGGAUCCGCCGUUCGCCGCGGAGUAAUCCCCGACCCUCGUUCCGUCGUUCCGCAAACCCAUCUCCCCCGUCCACGACCCGCUCGGCAGCGGCCGCCACAGCUUGAUGUGCUUCGCGCCGUACGUCACGAACUCGCGCAUCCCCGGGAACGGGUUCCACACCGCGCCGUACACCAUCGGGGGUAAGCCGUUGAUUCCCGGUCCUUCCGCGACGAGCUGCGUGGGUGAAGCGAUCGGUCAGUCGAAUGUCUUACCGGUCAAACGUUGAAAGGGAAGCGCGGGUGAAGAGUGACGACGGGAAAAGUCCUUAAGGAACGGCGUGCACCACGCGAACGGGGUCGUAUGGGAAGCAGUCUCACCUCGUACGUCCCGUCGCCGCUCUUGUAUCCCUCCGAGUCAAAGUUGGGCGGAAGCUUGCUCAGCGCGGCUUCGUCGUCCGCGGGCGCGCGCGAGUCCGGCGUCGGCUCGCCCGCGCCCUUGUGCGCUUGCAUCGCUUUCGAGACGGCGGCGGUCGCGGGCAGUUUCUUCGACGACCGGCCGCCGGCGCCGGCGCCGCCGGAUUCCUCGUAAAAUUCUAAGGGUCGUUCCAUACAAAAAUAGUUCAUCGGUCAGUUGAAAGGGGACGCGAUCAAAUGUUGAAACCGGGCGAUGGGUGAAAAACUUUUGUAUAGAACGCACCUAACCCGUCCACGCGUUUCGCCGGGCCGAAGCACCACCCGGGGACCUCCACCGCGUUGUCCAUCACCGCGUCGUCGCCGUGUUUGGUCCAGUUCCACACCAUGACCGUGUGCCCGUUGUCGCUGUUCACCGCGGUGAGGUAUUCUCCGCCGUCGGACAUGCUGAACCCGACGGCGAUGACCCCGCGCAUGCCCGCGGGGUGAACUAUCUUUUGAAGCUGCCGCAUGGAGAUGGCGUCCCACACGCACACGUACGGCCGACGACCGAGCUGCCCGGUCGCGACCCACUCGCGGUUGGGGUGAAUCGCGAGGCACUUGAUGUCGUCGUCGUGCCCGAAGAAGAAUCGUUGGCACUGCGUCUUCUUUUCGAGCUUAUCCUUAUCCAGCACGACGCCCACGGCGGCGGUGUAAUAGACCACCUCUCCGGUGGUGAGAUAGAACAAAUUCGGGGCGUUGUUCUCCAACCCGGCGUAGCCGUACACGUGCUCCAGCGCGAGCUCCGCGUCCGGGGCUUUCGACGACCGCACGACGUGCUCCGGGUCGAACUCGUUCGGGGGAAAAACCCCGCCGCGGCACUUCGGGUACUGAGGGUCGUUCCAUCAUUCAAAGCGACGUCGGGGUGGAGUUCAAAGGCGUCAGAAGCGGAGUUGAAAGGCGUCGAGGGCGGGGAUUGAAAGCGAAGGGUGGGUGGAGAGAUGCGACGGGCGAAGUCCUUAAGGAUCGGCGUUCACCACGCCAACGCGGUCGUAUGGGGACCAGUGUGAGAUAGAACGCGCCUGAAUCUUCCCGUCGUGCUGGUAGUCGUCGCCCAGUUCGAACCCGUGCCGCCCGAGGUCCUUCGCGUCCAGUAUGUGCUCCAUCCCGAGCAGGCGCGACGGCGACGCGAGCAGCGCUUGGAUGAAAACCUCGUACGGCAUGUACCCGUCGCGAUCGUACCCGUACUUGACGAACACCGCGGCCGCCGCGGACUGGGAUAUCGGGUCAAAGUUGAAGUGCGGGAGGCCGUCUUCGUCGAAGUACUUCACCGGGACGAGGUCAAUCUUUUCAAACUUGUCGUCCCUCGGCCUUUGCUUCUCCGCUUUCAGUUCGAUCCCCAACGACUUCACGGAGCUCGUGAGCUUCUUCACCGGCGACGACGCCGCCUUGGACGCGGUCGCGGUUGAAGCGCUCUUGGCGUCUCCCGGGCCCUUCGCGUUCUCUUUCGCGGCGGCGGCGGCGGCCGCGUUCGGGUCCUUCGCGCGGCGCCCCGCGAUCGGCUUCUUGCCCACCAUCUUCGUCGGCGAACUCGUCAUCGUCGGCCCCGGCUCCAUCGACCGCGAGGCGUCCGCGUCCGCGGUCUCCGCGGCGGCGACGGCGUUCGCGAGGACGGUCGGCACGACGAUCUGCGGGCCGUUCCAUCGUUCAAAGCGACGAAUGUCGGGGUGGAGUUGAAAGGCGUCAGGGGUAGAGUUGAAAGGCAUCGCGUAGGCGUGUCGGGAUUGAAACCGUGGGGUGGGCGGAGAGAGACGCGCGCGGGCGAAGUCCUUAAGGAUCGGCGUGCACCACGCGAACGCGGUCGUAUGGGGACCAGUGCGAGAUAGAACGCGCCUCCGUCGGCUUCGGCGUCGACGCGAUCGACGCCACGCUCGCGGGCCCGGCGAACUCGUUCUUCUCGUUUUCGUUCUCGUCGUCGUCCGCGUCGUCCGGCUCCGGCGGCGCGCUGCCCCACGCCUGGAGAAACAUCGCGAGGUCGCAGUCGCCCGUGAAGCGCCCGUGGCGAUUCUUGUCCACCCGUUGGAACACGCGCAUGAGGAAAUCUUUCUCCGUGUAGCACGGCGAUAACGCCUUCUUGUUCUCCGCGGCGACGACGCGCGCGAGGGAUUCGCGCAUGCGCGCCUCGAGCGCGACGACCGCGCGUCGGACGCACCGCUCCGGAUCUUUCUUCCAAACCUCGGGUUUGUCCCCGGUCCACGGGCCCUUCGUCGUGUCGUACGGGUCCCGGUCUAAGGGCCAUUCCAUACGAGCGAACGUCGGGGUGGAGUUGAAAGGCGUCAGAAGCGGAGUUGAAAGGCGUCGAGGGCGGGGAUUGAAACCGAGGGGUGGGCGGAGAGAUGCGCCGGGCAAAGUCCUUAAGGAACGGCGUUCACCACGCCAACGCGGUCGUAUGGGGACCAGUGUAUAGAACGCGCCUAAUCCCUUCACGAGCGCGACUAUGUGUUCGUACGGCGGCAGCUUCGCGAUCGCCCGCACGCGCUCCUCGUGCCCCAUGUGCGAGUGCGGACUCUCCAACGCCUUCCGCAGGUCGUUCAGUUUCAUCUGCGCGGGCCCCAAGGACGCGGAGACGGACAGCCCCGCGGAGACGGAGGCUCGGACGAGCGAUUUACUAAACACGCCCGCGUUGGCGCCGCCCGGGCGAGCGCCCCCCUUUGCAAUCUCCAUCGGGUCGCCCUCGUUGUACGGCACGCCGUGCUUGCUCGUGCUCCAGAACGGAGGCAAGUCGCUCGUCUUCGCAGGGUUCUCGCGGCCGUGGUACCCCGCCUCGUUCGCGCGUUUCUUCUCCGCGGCUCGUAACAACGCCGCGCGGUUCGUGGGGAGCCCGGAGCUGCUGCCUCGCGAGGCGUUCAGCGCGCCGCCGCUGGCCCCCCGUCUGGACGCGUUCAUGCCGCCGCCGCUGCCGCUGCCGGCGCCGCCCUUGGACGUCAUCGUGUCGUUCGGCCCGGAACCCAUCGCGGCCGCGCGGUCAACUCGCUGACGCUUCCGGAUGCGAUCUCUUCGUUGGCACCGACGGCACCGACGCGCGCGCGAUGGACGCGUCGCCGGGUGGCCGCGCGUGCGCGUGCGAGCCCGAUAUGCGCGGUCGGUCGCGGCGCGCGUAUCGGGCGUGUCGUGCAGACGAUGGAUGCGACGCGGAAGUCACGCGCGCGACGGCGGUUCGUGCGCGCCGACGUGUGCGCGCGGGGGGCGCAACGAGAUUCUACUAGCCGUUCGCAGAGUUGACUGCUAAACUUCCAGCUGCGGUGCGUUCUAGCUUGAAAAGGCGUUUUUCACUCAUCCCUCGGGUUCAAUAAUAUGAUAUUUGAUCGCGACCCCUGUCAACUGACCGAUGUUUUUUUUUGGCUCCCGUCAUCGCGGCUUCAUCAGCGCCGGAUGCUCGAGCGCUUCCGCGAGCGUCAUCCGUCGCUCCGGGUCCCACUCCGUGAGCCCCACCACUAGAUCCCACGCCCCCACCUUCUCGAGCAGGCUGAAAUCGCACGACUCCCCGCCCGGCGCCCUCGCCCACGCGUCCAACACGCUCUCCGUCUCGGCGUCCUGAGGGUCGUUCCAUACAAAAAUAUGUAGUUCAUCGGUCAGUUGAAAGGGACCCACGCGAUCAAGUGUUGAAACCGAGCUAUGCUAUGGGUGAAAAACGUUUGUAUAGAACGCACCUGACCGGCGUCCGCGCGCUCUUUCGCCGCCUCCAUCGCCGCUCGCGCGCGCUUGACCGCCCCCGGCGCGUGCAACGACGGCACCCCGAGCCGUAAGAGGCACAUCCCGAUCCCGAACGCGUCGAACCCGGGGUGAGGGACGACCCCGGUCGCGGUGAGCGUGCCCUCGCCGGGGCGGCCGCCGCGGCCGAAGAGACCGCCGACGGUGAAGCCGCCGCCGCCGCCGCCGACGCGUUCGAACUGCUCCGGCGCGCCUGCGCGAAGGGUUAGGGUUAGGGUUAGGGUUAGGGUUAGGGUUAGGGUUAGGGUUAGGGGUAGGGGUAGGGGUAGGGGUAGGGUUUGAUGCCGGGACGAGCGCGCGCGCGCGGCGGACCGCCGCGAAACCGAAGAAAAUCAAUCACGCACCGUACACCGGGUCGAAUAUCGCUUCGCGGCCGUCGCACCCUUGUCCCGUCUCGAAGUCCGCGGCGCCGCCGAGGUCGCACAGCGCGAGCACGGCGUCGUCGUCGCUCACGUUCGCGGAGGUGAUAACCGACGUCAGCAGGACGUUAUCCGGCUUCACGUCGCGGUGCACGACCCCGCGUUCGUGCAUCGCGAUCGCGGCUUCGCACAGCCCCGCGGCGAUCGCGCGAAAGGUCUCGGCGUCGUCGCGCCCGCCGCGGCCUCCUGUGUGGGUGAAGUGAUCGGUCAGUCGAACGUCUUAGCGGUCAAACGUUGAAAGGGAAGCGCGGGUGAAGAGUGACGACGGGAAAAGUCCUCAAGGAACGGCGUGCACCACGCGAACGGGGUCGUAUGGGAAGCAGUCUCACCUCUCCCGUCGCCGAUCGCCUCCCUGACGCCCUUCACGCCGCGCCCCGCGUCGAGAACGCUCCCCAACGUCUCGUCGCCGACGUGCUCCCAGACGAGGUACGCGUCCGAGCCCGCGACGCCCGCGAACGGCGCGACGCCGGCGCAUCCGACGAGACGCCGGCAGAUGUCGCGCUCGUCGCAGUAGAACGAGUACCAGUCCCUCCCUCGCACGCUCUUCUUGUACUCCUUCACGACGACGUCUCGCGGCGAGGCGUCCUCCUCCGUGACGACGCCGCGGUAGACCACCCCGAACGACCCUUCGCCGAUCUUCGCGCCCACGGCGAGCGUGGAGAGCGACACCUCGGGCGGGACGAACCCGUCCAUCUCUGGGUCGUACGAGCCGACGUCGUAGGAGUACUCCGCGCGCGCGACGUGAGACGAGGCGCGACGCGCGGGGAGAGGAGGCGGCGUCGCGCGGCGCGAUGCGACGCGCGGGCGACGCGACGACGACGACGACGACGUCGUCGUCGUCGUCGGCGGCGGCGCGGCGCGGAGAGACGCCAUCGCGGUCGUCGCGCGGCGCGGGAAGGAGUGAGCGACCGAUCGACGUGGCAUCGAGAGUUGCUGAUGAGGUGCCAUAACCUUAGGAUAUACAAAAGUUUUUCACCCAUCGCCCGGUGUCAACAUUUGAUAGCGUCCCUUUUCAACUGACCCCUCCCGCGCCUUCAAAGAGCGCGUCCCACUUCCCGAAAUCGCUCCCCGGCCCCUCCCCUUCCCUCGUCCCCAAGCAGUACCCCUUCCCGACGCACGCGGCGCUGCUCAGCGCGGCGACCGCGGCGUCCGCGACGACGAUGCGCGACGUCUCCUCCGGAAGUAAAUCGUCCCCGAGUCGGAGGUCCACCGCGCGUCGAGUCCCGCUGCGAUGAGGUGUCGUCGUUUGAUUGGUGGGCGACGUGGCGGGAAGUGUUGUGAUUGGUUAGCUCUUUUGUGACCCGUGUGGACGUUUCAUUGGACGACAGAGAGCGACGAAGAGAAACAUACGCCGGGAGAGAAAGUCCUUAAGGAUCGGCGUUCACAUCGCCGACGCGGUCGUAUGGGAAGCAGUCUCAUUUCUCUCACCUCGUCGCGCGAAGCACGGUGUUGACGUCGUACGACGUGUACGGACCGUCGGUGAGCCGCCCGGGGCGGAGGAUCGUGUACGGGAUGCCGCUGUCGACGACCGCCUGCUCGCCCAUGGCUUUGAACUUCAACACGCCGAAGAGAUUUAGCACGAGGAACGGCAUCCGGUCCGUGCGCGUGACGCCUGCGAGGAGAGCGACGGGAGAGAAAGUCCUUAAGGAUCGGCGUUCACAGCGCCGACGCGGUCGUAUGGGAAGCAGUGUUCGGAGACGACGACGGUCGGAGACGGCCGGAGACGACGCGCGGGAGACCCGCGGCGAUUGGUCGACAGACGUGAGAAGAUUCGGGAGAUGACACGCGUCACAUAGGGAAUGGUCCACGUCGACGGACGUGACGUACCUAUGCUCGAGACGAGCACGAUCCGCCGCGCGUUCGGCGACUGCGUCUUCGCCGCCGUCGCGAGGUUCCGUACUGAGGGCCAUUCCAUACAAAGCGAUGUCGGGGUGGAGUUCAUAGGCGUCAGAUGGAGUUGAAAGGCGUCGAGGGCGGGGAUUGAACGCAAGGGAUGGGCGGAGAGAUGCGCCGGGAAAAGUCCUUAAGGAACGACGUUCACCACGCCGACGCGGUCGUAUGGGGACCAGCGUAUAGAACGCGCCUGAAACGAAAUCCGUCGCCUCCGGUCCGUUCCCAUCCCUCCACCGCGCCGAAGGGAACGCGGUCGUUCCCACGCACGACACGAUCGCGUCGACGCCGACGCACGCGCCGCUGCGCUCGAGCGCGGCGGCGUCUCGCAAGUCCACGCCGGUGACGACCUCGAACGCGUCGUCGUCGCUCGCGAACGCGUCGGCGAACAGCGCGCGCGCGCUCUCCUCCGAGCGCGCGAGCGCCUUGACGCGAAAGCCGGACUCGAGAAGCUUGGCGACGACGAGCUGCCCGACGCCGCCGGUGCUGCCGACGACGAGGACUUUGGAGCCCUGGAGGGUGGGGUGGGUGUGCGGGGAGGGCGCGCGGCGGGGUCAGGCGUGGACGGAGGACGACCGUACCGACGAGGGAAGCGCUCGCGUCGAUCGAUCGAACGAGAUCGGUGCCGUGUCGCGCGCGCGCCUUCGGGACGAUCGCGUCCUCCGCGGACGACGCCGCGGCGGCGACGCGGCGGCGAUGGACGGCGCGCGCGGGGCGUUUCGUCGUCUCGCCGCGGAUGCGGCCGCGGUGCAGACCGCGCGUGGACGCGACGACGCGGCGCGCCGCGGGGGCGACGGCGGAGGAGGAGGCCAUGGCGCUCGACGUUUUGGCCGUGCCGACGAACGAGGGAGCGGAGAGUUCUUUUCCGAAAAAACCAAACCACCGCCGAAAGCAAACGCGGAUUCCGCCCGUCGAUGAAACGUGACCGGUCGGCUCGGUCAGCGCGCGGGCGAACGCGAGCCAGUCACGACGAUUCGACGCCGUGACAACCUGGCACAGCGGUCGGCCGCCGAACCGUCGUCUAUCCACUUGGUUCCGACCCCGAGCGCGUCUCGGACUCUCGGUCCGCGUUCGAGGCUCGGUCCGCGUUCGCCGCGACGCGCAGAGCAUCGAAGCACCACGCGCGCGCACUCGCCUCGCUUUCGAUGUCGGCGUUCGCUACACUCCAUCACGUACCCGCUCGAGCGUACAGUGCGUCGCCACACCCACCCCGCGGUUCGACUCGUCGUCGAUCGCGCGCGCGCGCGCGCGCGGCGGCGUCCGCGCGCGCCGCGAUCGAAUGAAUCGACGCGCACGUUUGUUUAUCCCGCCCGGCGACGCGAGCGAGCGAUCGAGCGAUCGAGCGAGCGAUCGUCGCGCGUCCCUCUCCUCGCCAUCGUUCUGACGCCCGCCCGCCCGCCGCGCUCUUCAUUUCGUUGUCCCAACAGAGAUGUCCAAGCGCGCGAACGACGGGUCCAAGAAGCUCCGCGGCGCGCUCAUGACGACGCGCGGCGCCCCCGGCGCGUCCUUUUCCGAGGGCGAGCCCCCCGCGCUCAUCUCAACCACCCCGGAGUGGGACGCUCUGAAGCGGCACAAGGAAGAGAUCAUCGACGGGACGCACCUUCGCGAGCUCCUGAACGACGAGGAGAGGAACGAAGCGCUGACCGCGGAGUACAACGGCGUGUACUGCGACUUCGCGCGCCAGCGCGUCGUGCCCGAGGUGCGCGACGACGAACGAACGAACGAUCUGAUCCCAUCGAUACGCGCCCGCGUCGGAUCCGAAAGAACUGAAGAGCGCCUUCCUUCUUCUGUGACAAUUCCCGCCCGCCCGUCCAACCCCCCGCGCGUCGUCAUGUCAUGUCAUCAAACUCUGACGCCGCGCUCUUCUUCUUCUCUCUUCUUCGCGCGCGCACCCCCCCAUUUCAGACGAUGGAGAAGCUCUACGACCUCGCCAACGCGGCGGGGCUCAAGGACAAGAUCAACGCGAUGUUCGAGGGCGAACACAUCAACUCCACGGAGGACCGCGCGGUGCUCCACGUCGCCACGCGCGCGCCGCGCGACAAAGUCAUCAACGUCGACGGCAAAAACGUCGUCCCGCAAGUCUGGGACGUCCUCGACAAGAUCAAGGACUUCACGGACAAGGUGCGCGACGGCGAGUGGGUCGGCGCGACGGGCAAGCCGCUGACCUCCGUCGUCGCCGUCGGCAUCGGCGGCUCCUUCCUCGGCCCGCUCUUCGUGCACACGUCGCUUCGCACGUGCCCGGAAGCUGCGGAGGGCGCGCGGGGGAGGCAGCUGCGGUUUCUCGCGAACGUGGACCCGGUCGACGUCGCGCGAUCGCUGAACGGGCUGGACCCGGAGACGACGUUGGUGGUCGUGGUCUCCAAGACGUUCACCACGGCUGAGGCGCGUUCUAUCUCACGCCGGUCCCCAUACGGCCGCGGCGGCGUGGUGCACGCCGAUCCUUAAGGACUUUCUUUUGCCGGCGUGUGUUUCUCCCCGCCCAGGGUCCCUCGCGUUCAAUCCCGACACACCUACGCGACGCCUUUCAACAUCAACUGACGCCUUUGAACUCCACCCCGACGUUCGCUCGUAUGGACAAUUACCCGUAUAGACGAUGCUCAACGCGCGCACCGUGAGGACGUGGAUCACCGCGUCUCUCGGGAAGGAAGCCGUGAAGAAGCACAUGGUCGCCGUCUCCACGAACCUCAAGCUCGUGUCCGAGUUCGGCAUAGACCCUGACAACGCGUUCGGGUUCUGGGACUGGGUCGGCGGUCGAUACUCCGUGUGCUCCGCCGUCGGCAUGCUCCCUCUGUCGCUUCAAUACGGCUUCGACACGAUGGAAAAAUUCCUCGAGGGCGCGUGGAACAUCGACGAGCACUUCGCCACCGCGCCCUUCGAGAAGAACCUCCCCGUCACCCUCGGCAUGCUGUCCGUGUGGAACGUCUCCUUCCUCGGGUGCUCCGCGCGCGCGAUCCUCCCGUACACGCAAGCGCUCGCGAAGCUCGCGCCGCACAUCCAGCAGGUUGCGAUGGAGAGCAACGGCAAGGGCGUCUCCAUCGACGGCAGGCGCGUCCCACGCACUGGUCCCCAUACGGCCCCGUUGGCGUGGUGAACGCCGAUCCUUUAGGACUUUUCCCGGCGCAUCUCUCCGCCCAGGGUCCCUCGCUUUCAAUCCCGACACACCUCGGCGCCUUUCAACUCCGCUUCUGACGCCUUUCAACUCCAGACCGCUGCCGUACGACACCGGCGAGAUCGACUUUGGCGAGCCCGGGACGAACGGGCAGCACUCGUUCUACCAGCUCAUUCACCAGGGCCGGACGAUCCCGUGCGAUUUCAUCGGGAUCAUCAAGUCGCAGCAGAGCGUCUACCUCAAGGGCGAGAUCGUGUCCAACCACGACGAGCUCAUGUGCAACUUUUUCGCGCAAGCCGACGCGCUCGCCGUGGGCAAGACUGACGUCGAACUCCGCUCGGAGAACGUCCCGACGUUUCUCAUCCCGCACAAGACGUUCACGGGUAACCGACCGAGCCUCUCGAUCAUGCUUCCGGCGUUGAACGCGUACAGCACCGGUCAACUUCUGGCCAUCUACGAACACAGAGUCGCCGUGCAAGGAUUCGUGUGGGGUUUGAACUCGUUCGAUCAGUGGGGCGUCGAGCUCGGAAAAGUGCUCGCGUCCAAGGUUCGCGUGUCGAUGUCGCAGAAGCGGACGACCGGGGAGUUGGAAGGGUCGAGCGACGGGUUCAACUCGAGCACGACCGCGAUGUUGAACCGGUACUUGAAAGGGAAGGCGCAGCUUAAGUACGCGGAGGCGGAGGACGUCUUCCCGUGCGAUCUCAUCGACAGCGACGAGUGCCGGCCGCCGACGUCCUACGUCUGAGCGGGCGGGUGACGCGCGCGCCGCGCGCGGUCUCGUCUAGUCUAUCACGCGAUGGACGACGACGACCGACGCGCGGGGUUGGUGCGGGGUUGAUUUGAUUUCAUUCAUCUGAUUUGAUUUGAGGAGGAGGGGGAGUGAAUUGAGGUAAUAUCGAGACGCGCGCGGCGGAGGAUGGGAGCGCCGCGAGAAAUUAAUUACAUUUUUCGCCGCCUCGUCGUCGCGUCGGGGUCCGUCGCUCCGGGGACGCUCCGCGGGUUCGGUUCGUUCGCGCGGAAGGAAGGAAGGAAGGAAGCGCGGGGACGAGAGGACGAGAAAGUGGACGCGUCGCGGGGCUGUACUAGUACAAGUUUACUUUGUGACGAAGUGAUUGAUGCUCUUUAUUCCGUCGCGGAGCGCUCGCCCCCGCCCUCCUCGCCGACGAAAGUUCCCGCCCUUCCAAAGACUGAUGAUCCGAUCCAGAUCCGAUCGGGCGUGGAUGCGACCGAUAUUUCUCUGCUGUCGACGAUAACAACAGACGGAACCGUCUUCGCGCGCCCUCGACGCACUCUCGCCCGCGCCGGUCA
rnacentral:lncRNA from 1 species